GACAGAGGAUGCAAGCGUUAUCCGGAAUGAUUGGGCGUAAAGCGUCUGUAGGUGGCUUUCAAGUCCGCCGUCAAAUACCCAGGGCUCAACCCUGGACAGGCGGUGGAAACUACCAAGCUGGAGUACGGUAGGGGCAGAGGGAAUUCCGGUGGAGCGGUGAAAUGCAUUGAGAUCGGAAAGAAACACCAACGGCGAAAGCACUC
rnacentral:rRNA from 1 species